rnacentral:rRNA from 1 species
GACGAACGCUGGCGGCGUGCUUAACACAUGCAAGUCGAGCGGUAAGGCCCUUUCGGGGGUACGACGAGCGGCGAACGGGUGAGUAACACGUGGGUGACCUGCCCUCAGCUCUGGGGUAAGGCCUGGGAAACCGGGUCUAAUACUGGAUAUGACUCCAUGACGCAUGUUGUGGGGUGGAAAGCCUUGUGCGGCUGAGGAUGGGCCCGGCGGCCUAUCAGCUUGUUGGUGGGGUGAUGGCCUACCAAGGCGACGACGGGUAGCCGGCCUGAGAGGGCGACCGGCCACACUGGGACUGAGACACGGCCCAGACUCCUACGGGAGGCAGCAGUGGGGAAUCUUGCGCAAUGGGCGAAAGCCUGACGCAGCGACGCCGCGUGAGGGAUGACGGCCU